rnacentral:piRNA from 1 species
UAGAGCAUGGUUUGGAGCCCACC